CUCUCUCUCUCUAUAUAUAUAUAUAUAUAUCUCUAUGUGGGACCCCUAGUCAGUCGUCAGUCAUCUCUCUCUCUCUCUAUAUAUAUAUAUAUAUAUCUCUCUGUAGGACUCCUAGUCAGUCAUCAGUCAUCUCUCUCUCUCUCUCUAUAUAUAUAUAUAUCUCUCUAUGUGGGACCCCUAGUCAGUCCCCUCUCUCUCUCUCUCUCUAUAUAUAUAUAUAUCUCUAUGUAGGACCCCUAGUCAGUCCCCUUCCCCUCUCUCUCUCUCUCUCUCUCUCUCUCUAUAUAUAUAUCUAUGAGGGACCCCUAGUCAGUCAUCAGUCCUCUCUCUCUCUAUAUAUAUAUAUAUGUCUAUGUGGGACCCCUAGUCAGUCAUCAGUCAUCUCUCUCUCUCUAUAUAUAUAUAUAUCUAUGUAGGACUCCUAGUCAGUCCCC
rnacentral:lncRNA from 1 species